rnacentral:rRNA from 1 species
GAUGAACGCUGGCGGCGUGCCUAAUACAUGCAAGUCGAGCGAACAGACGAGGAGCUUGCUCCUCUGACGUUAGCGGCGGACGGGUGAGUAACACGUGGAUAACCUACCUAUAAGACUGGGAUAACUUCGGGAAACCGGAGCUAAUACCGGAUAAUAUAUUGAACCGCAUGGUUCAAUAGUGAAAGACGGUUUUGCUGUCACUUAUAGAUGGAUCCGCGCCGCAUUAGCUAGUUGGUAAGGUAACGGCUUACCAAGGCAACGAUGCGUAGCCGACCUGAGAGGGUGGUCGGCCACACUGGAACUGAGGCACGGUCCAGACUCCUACGGGAAGACGCAGUAGGGAAUCUUCCGCAAUGGGCGAAAGCCUGACGGAGCAACGCCGCGUGAGUGAUGAAGGUCUUCGGAUCGGAAAACUCUGUUAUUAGGGAAGAACAAAUGUGUAAGUAACCAUGCACGUCUUGACGGUACCUAAUCAGAAAGCCACGGCUAACUACGUG